GUGCUCACUUUGGCAGCACAUAGACUAAAAUUGGAACAAUUUAGAUUAGCAUGAUCCCUGUGCAAGGAUGACAUGCAAAUUUGUGAAGCAUUCCAUAAUAAA